ensembl:lncRNA
GCAAAGCCGAUUCUCCGCGCUUUGUUAACUGAAUCGGAUUUAUUAUAAGUUUAAAAUCCAAACUGCAAUAAGGGGUUUAUCUGAAUCUACAAAGCCACUGCGGAGAUCUAAACUCUCUCUCACACACACAGCGCUCUGAUUAUAGCCUCGUUCACGGUGAAUCUUCACACUGAAAACUGAAAGAAAAAUCUUUUUUACUUGAAACAUCUGCAACAUCUGUCCUCGUGCCCAGGUGCCAGUUUUUGUUUUUUUUUCUUCCUUGAGGAAUUUAUCCUGACCCACCUGGUGGAGUUCACACAGAUAAGAGUGCACCGAAGCUGCGAUAGGAUUUACAUUUGACCUUCAGUCUGUGUGUGUGUGUGUGUGUGUGUGUGUGUGUGUGUGUGUGUGUGUGUGUGGCAUUAGGCACAGAAUAGCACUGGCCCCACUAAUACAUUGUGUUUUGUAAGUAUGAUGCAAAAAUUUAGUUUAGCACUUUUUUAUACACUUUGACAUAU